ACUUACAGCUCAGAGCACUGAGAGCCUCAACAGAGAACUGAGCUGAUCUGAUUGAACAUGGACAGAUGCUUCAUACUGAUUCUCAUUUUGGGAACAGGUUUGGUGGCUGGAGACAGCAUUGAGCCAGAUAAAGGGACAGAAAAAACCUCUAAAGAAACAGAAACUGUCAAGCUGAGCUGCUCAUGUAGUACAAGUAGUGAAUAUGUUCGGCUUUACUGGUACAGACAGUAUCACAACAGAGAACCACAGUUCUUAUUAUACAAAAAUGAAAGGUCAGAUUAUGAAGACACCUCUGAUGAUCGGUUUCAUUCAGCUGCAUCACGUACAUCCACUGAACUCACUAUUACUGAUGUACGUCUGUCAGAUUCAGCUCUCUAUUAUUGUGCUCUAAGAGUAGCAGCCCAGUGA